GGAGAGGUGGCUGAGUGGUUGAAAGCGGCGCCCUGCUAAGGCGUUAGGGGGUUCACGCCUCCUCGAGGGUUCGAAUCCCUCCCUCUCCG
rnacentral:tRNA from 2 species